GCGUUUGAGUAUAAGGGCUCAUCGCUGGAAACCAUGUUUGCCGACAUAGGGAUUUGGUACCAGGCUAAGUGAUCUUGUGUACUUGACUUUAUGUCAUUCCCAAAUUGGGACUAUGGUUAGGAGCCCAGGCUAAGUGAUCUUGGGCACUACUAUACUUUAUUGGGUCGAGACACCCUACUGUGUGAUCAUGUGUGUCUUCC
rnacentral:lncRNA from 1 species